rnacentral:lncRNA from 1 species
UCUUCUAAACACCCUUCAACACACAAAACUAAAUUCUGCGGCCAAUGUCGUCACACUUUCCUUCUUAACUGUUUGAGAGCAUCAUAAGUCCAAGGUUUUUCAAUUCGUCUUCAAUUUCUUCCCCCUUAAAACCAUUCUUGAGUCCAAAAGAGGAAGAUCAAUUUAGAUGAAUCGAGUAUUAUUUAUUCACUCUCUUUAUAAAGACGAGAUCUCCAUAGCUUCUGUUUCCUUCGGUCUUCAAGGUAUGUAUUUAUUUGGCUUCUUUAAUUUUCUUUUUCUUUUUCUUAGUUAUAUAAGUGUCUGUCUUUUAUGAUUUAUAUUCAUAUUGAUGAUGAAUCAUAUAUAUAAAUUAAAAAGAAAACUAAGCAAGUAUUGAAGCAGCUAGCCAUAUCUUAAUCUUGUACUGCCUUCUUUUUACUAUAAGGGUUUUUAUUUUUAUUUUCAUUUCUAUCGAGUAUUAAUUUAAAUAAAAAAAGGUAUAAGUCUAUGAAAGUGUAAUUCCCAUGGUAUCCAUAAAAUAGUAGAUUGAAUGUGGAUUAGUGUCAGAUCCGCAUCAAAUCUGCAGUGCAACGCAUGGAUUUAAUCAAUCCAUAAAAUGGUGAAUUUUUGUAAAUAAUCCACAAAAUCGGACAAUGUGGGACCACAUACAAUCCGAUAUUUUACAAAUUUGGAAAGUGCAGGAAAUUCUUUGUAAGGAUAAUUUUGUGGGCGUCAUUAAUAAAAUAAUUGUAUUUAGAAAUGGCACAACCAAGUUAAUUAUGAUGUUACCAUAUAGGGUUAAUACUUGAAAAAAAUAAAAUAAAAUGAUUAUGGGGCUGUCGAAGGAGCAUAGCAAGUGAUUGUUGCUCAAAUUUGUUUGUCCUUAUCUUUUAUCUGAAGCGGCGUAUAAAUCUGGAUUCUCUUACUAUUAUACCUUUGGGACAAAACUAUUGUUACUUCGUGGGUUCUUCAAAUUAAUAUUUCUUGCUUUUUAAAUCAUUUUUGGAUGCUGGUGAGGAAGAUGAUAGAGAGAAUGGAGUACCAAUAUUUCACUCUCUUUAUAAGAAGUAAUCACCUCACGGUAUGUUUAUUUAUCUAGCAUUUAUUUGUUUAUUUUCUUUCCUUUAAUCACAUAAUCGUUAUUGCACUUUAAUGGCUAAAAUAGAACAUUUUAAAAUUAUUUCUUUGGCUAAAAUAGAACAUUCUAUUUCUUUGGUGUUGUUGUAAUAGAAAAUGAUAAAUGACAUACAUACAUACACACACACGCACACACAUAUGAAAAUUUCUAAUUUGAGAAUUCAAGAUUAAAUUAAAGUCUGGGAAGAGUUGGUAGUGAUGUAAAUGGAUUUUUACGUUGUUUUAAAUAUGUCUUGAAUUUUAAUGAAGUCUGGGAUUCUCAUAUUGGAAGUUAAACUAUAUAUUUAUAAAAGUAUAUACAUUGUUUUUCUCUAAUAAAAUGGUUGAAUGACAUUUUUCUUAAAUAAUGUAUAAUUAAAAAAUUAAAAAUUUACUUUGGAGAUCAUUUAUGAAGAUAUACAAUAAUGAGUAUUUUAUUAUAACUAAAAGAAGAACGAAUGAGGUCCAUCGAAUUACUGUAAACAAGCAUUCACAUUUUGCAAAUAUAUGAGCAUCCUUAUUAGAGAAGAAUUUGGGUUGAGUGUGUGUGUGUGUGCGCGUAUAUAUAUAUAUAUAUAUAUAUAUCUGCAUGUUAAAAUCAUUUAGACAAAAAAAAAAAAAAUGAACUCCAAUACACUAGAAGGUAAAAAUAAUGCUUUUUGGUCAGUAUUUGUUUUUUGUCUUUUCGCUCAAUUUGUAUUUCAAAAUCAUUUAGAGGUCCGAACCUAAGCAAAACAUUGAGUUCUAAUAUUAGUCUGUAUUUGCAGAACCCAAUAACCAUUUUUUGUUUUGGUUGUAUUAAGUGGAAUGACUCCACUCCUAAUUGUUAAAUCCUAUUAUAUUUUAAAAACGAAAAGAAAGCAAACAAUUGUCACGAUUUUGGCCAACAUAUAAUAGUUGUUUCCCUUUCUCUUUGGUUUAGCGAAGAAUAUAAUAAGAAUAAAUAAUUAGAAGUGAGGUCAUUCCAUAUAAUGCAGUAAGAUUGCUAAUAUUUGAAGUCCUCAUUUUAUUUACGAAAAAAAGGAUCACUUAAUGGGAAGCUCACUAUAUAUAUAGUGAGAGAGAAAGAGAGAGAGAGUUAUUAUCUGGUGAGUUUCUCACACUUUAAUAAAGUAACGUAUGAGCUGAAAUACAAGAAAAGCACGUGUCAAUGCAUCAUAUUUUGUCUUGUAGUGUAUUUGAAUUUGUGUUUUUAUAUUUUUUAGAUUAUACCUUAUCAUAUUAAAGUAAAGGGAGCCCCUAAGUUACAUUUAAUGUAACUUACACCACUUACAUGAACAGUGCGUGGUGUGGGGCCUACGCACUGUUCAUGUGAGUGGAUGUAAGUUACAUUAAAUGUAACUUAACAUUUGCCUAAAGUAAAGGAUCAUCAUAAGAAGUGCAAUCUACACACGUGCGCGCAUGCAUGUACAUAGGGAAAUUUCCAAUUCUUGAUUCUCGAAUGAGCCACUAAUUGAAAUCCAAAGAUCCAAAACUUUCUUUUUUUUAAUAUUUUGUUGGCUCCAACACGUGCAACAACAUAUGCAGCCGAAUGAUAACCUUUGGAUUUAAAUAUUUUGUUCUUAGAUGCUUUUCCAACCUAGGAACAAAAUGGUGGUCUUUGAAUCCAAAGGUUAACACCAUGUGCAGCCAACCAAAUGGAAGAAAAAUGAAAAAAAGGGGUUUGGAAUCCAACGGUCCAUCCGGAAAUCCUUGAUCGAAAAAUUCCCCAUAUAGAUGUUACAAUCUGGGGAUCUUGGGUGUAUAUAUAUAAUCUGGGGAUCUUGGGUAUACAUAUAUAUAUAUCACGCCAAGGUGCGGACAUCUGCAUCAAUUUUCAUGCACAACCUUUUAUAGAGUUGUAAAAUAGUUUACAAUGUUAUUUAGUAUAAAGAUUUGCGUUUGCACAAAAUUUCAUGCUAUCAUCUAUGAUCACUCUGUAUUUAUAGUAUAAUGCCUGGAAUCAAGUGAGUAAGGUUCAUUUCAGUUGUUAUUAUUAGUGAUUAAUUUUUUUUUUAUAAUUAUGUGAAUUAUUAUUAUUACUCCUUGAAUUUUAAUUUUUGGGCCUAAGAGUUAAAGCUUUCUGCGCCUAGUGAUUUUAUUUUUUUGGGUAGUUCUAAAACCCAAUAAGAAUUAGGUCUUCUUUUAUUGUAAGGUGGUAGACUUUCUUUCUUACAAAAAUUAGUUUUAGAGACUGCUCACAGAAUGAAGAUUCUUGGAAAAUGUUAUGAGGGAAAGAGAGUAAAGAGGUAUUUUUUUUUAAUAUCUCAAUUUACUUGUUAAGUUUACUGUAAGGUGGCUAAACUUUCUUUCUCACAAAAAUAUGUCGUGGGAUAUAUCUAUGUUAUAGAAUGAACUUAUGAGAGGACGAUUUAGUUUGAUAAAGAUCAGUUUUGACUUAUUGUGUUCUUUUAAGAAACAGUAAGGAAUAAUUAAGUUUUUUCGAGGUUUUGUGUACAUAUGAUAGUGACCUACUCCAAAACGAUUUAAAAUAAUGCAUUUUUUUUAUUUUUGCAAAUAUGUAUGUUUUUGUACUGAAACUAGACAUUGUAAGGUCUCUUAGAAUUUUUUAAAUUCAAAUAUACUUAAAUUCGAAUUUUAAUGGAUUUUUGAAUCAUACAAUUGGAUAUUAAAAAUUUACGGUUUCUGUAAUGUUGCCAAAUGAUGAAAAACUUUUGACCAAUCAAACCUUCUUUAAAAAUCAUGAACUUUUGCAGAUGGACCUUUUUACACGGCAUAUUAGAUACUGAGGUCUUAGUUCCUCGUUUCUAGUUAAUAUGAAUUAACGAGUGAAAGGGACUUAAUUUGGGAUUUUUUUUAUGGCAUGAUUAAAUGGCCUAAAAAUCAAGUUUAUUUUUAAUAGAUUUUGAAUGCAAUUUGCCUUGAAAUUUUACUGUAUACCUUUAUGUGCCUAUAUGAUCCCUAUGAAAUUUCAUAAAUAUUGGAUAUUGAUUUUUUUUUCUUAUUAAAACAAUCUGAGAUUGAGGAUUGGUUAGUAACUUUUUCUGUUAUAAGGAGAAUGGAAAGCAAGAUUUGUGAUAUUACUUGAAAUUGUUUCUUAAAGACAUAGGAGCUGAGAAUUUUAUGUGAUAUUUUUAGUUGUAUCAUGAAUAUCAUCUAAGGUAUUAAACAAAAAUAAAUAAAUAAGUGCUAAGGGUGAUAAGCAUGUUGAAACAAGGAAAUUAUCUUGUAAAGUAAAUUUGGACUCGUUUAUCAUGAUUAAGACCCAUAGUGCUUAAUAGUUUAUUGUUACAUUUUCACAGGAGAUUAGUCUUUGAUGUUCAGUUAUGAUGAGUAUGUUUAUUGUUGUGACUGCCAAGAGUAAUCUUUGAUGUUCAAUUACGGUGACUAGGUUUAUUGUUGUGACUGCCAAGAAGUAAAUAAGCUAAACUUUUAACUACAUUCACUUUGAACAUGUGUGUGUGUGUGAGUGCUGUCUUAAAGAGGUUUUUUUUUUAAUGUUUAUUAUAAGAUUUGUGAUACAGAUAUGUGAUUAAGUGUUUGUUUUAUCCAUUAGAAUAGGCAUGUAUGAUGUUAUGUUAGGAAUUGCAUUCAAAGUAAUGUAUGAAGCAAUUUUUUCCGUACAAAAUAUCUUGUGUUCUAGGAUGCCCAACAUAUUCUUUUAAUUGUCCAUUUGUGUGUUUAUUUGGAGUGUUAGUUAUAAUUUAAUAAUCAAAAUGUAUGACAGUGAUAAUUUACAUUGAUUAUGAUAUAGUAGAGAUGGAUUUGUCAAAGCCAAAUCAUUUGAACCAAAACUCAAACUAAACCCAAAGUAAAUUAGGUGGAUUGUUUUUUGGUUUCGGUAGUAACAAGUGUAGGGUAGCUUGGAUUGAAACCCUGACGAAUUUGCCUAGAAUUUCUAAUAAUUAAGAUUUUUUUUUUGAAUUUUGAAACAUUUGAGUGACAAAAUACUAUGUGCAUAUUAUAAUUUUAUUAGUUAGUUGUACUACAAAGUAUAGAAGUUCUCAAUAUUUUGCACAAUUGCUAGACACCAUGCUUUUUAAUUUCCAAUUACAAAUUAUUCAAGCCGAAGAUGCCCAGCUGGCCAAGAUUAAUUCAAUGAAUUUGGAGAGCACAAAUCUCAAAAUUAUUGUACUAUUACCAUUUGAGUUGCCUGUCAAUUAAAUAAUAAUAGUGGUAACCUCACUUUUCAAUUACAAAUUACUAACACAAAACAAGUAAAUUUUAGCCACAAGCAUAAACCGGGUCUAUGCAAUUUCGGAAACCACUCAGAAACUUUAUUAUUACUCUUUUGUUGUUGUUGCAACUUGAUCAUCAUCAACUGCUCAGCUUAUUGUUGCAUACACUGCAAAUUCUUUGUUCAUGGGUUGUGUCUAAACAUGUCCAAAGAAAUCACCAUCAUCCUCUUCACAAACUACACACUCUUUUUGAAUACUUUGGCGAACAAUGAGUCCAAGACUUGUAAUGUCUGUGAUGAAUUAAUUGAAGGCAUCAGCUUACGCUGUAAUAAUGCUACAGAUUGUGAAUUUUAUUAUCAUGUUGCCUGUUGAUACCCCUACACAAGAAGCUUGAAACACAAGUCUCACUGAUGAUAAUGAUUUGGUAUAUUUAAUGAAGAACAAUGCGCUGUUUUAAGUGUUUCGAAUAUGCAAGCGCCACGAUUACUGUGAAGAUUCAUUCUGUAGGUUUAGUAAGUGUAAUUGGAAUGUUCGUAUUGAAUUUAUUCCUCUGCCGCUUGUUGUAAGACAUUAAAGUUACCAAUUGCAUCAUCUUAUGCUUACGGAUUGUGUAAAAGUUUAUGUGUGUAAACAGGAAGAACUCCUAAGGAUCAUGUUUAUCACCGUGGGGAAUGCGGCUUCCUUGCUCAUACUGAAUGCCCCUUAUGUGAGGUAAGUUAACUUUCACCUACAUUUUACCUCAUAAAUUAGGAAUUUAGUGAUUCAAAAUUGUGUUAUUGCUGAAUAUGUUCUGCUUGGCUCAAUAAUUGAAGUAAAUCUAUGAAUAUGUUGUAACAACGCAAGUUUUUAUUAUUGGUAACAAUUUUGUCAUUUACACUCCUCAAAUGUUGCGUAAGAUGACAGUUGUAACCAAAAAAAGAGAAAUUUAUCUUUAAUUAUAGAGCAAUGCUAACUAGCCAAAAUAACGGCAGAGGGAAGACAGAAACGGCAGCACAUGUUGCCGUUUCCUAUCCUCUCUCUCUUCUGUUAUGGGCCCACAAUAAAUUUAGAAAAAUGAAUAUAUAAUGGCGCACAUGCGUGAAUAAAGUGAAAACAUUUUUUUCUGUUAUUGGACAAGAGUUUUAACGCUCCAUAAUGAUUAAAGUGGGAGGCAAAAUCGAGUUAUUUACCACAACUAAUAUCUGCAUUUCUAGUCCUGCAUUUGAUCGAUUUCAAUAACAUAAAAAAAAGAAAAUCUACAAAAUCUCAAUCUCUUGGCUCUGUGUUGUGUCGAGGGCAAAGGAAAAUCUGCAAGGUUGGUUGGCCUGGUCAUGACAAAAGAAAACCUGCAAGGUUGCUGUGGG